rnacentral:lncRNA from 1 species
CACCUCUUGGCCUCUGUAUCCCUUCAACCCUUACUGAUAUCAGGGAACUCAUUUUAAUGCAGUCUUUCCCACUAGUACAUCCAAACCCCAGGUUAAGAGCUCUAACAGCACCUUCCAGGGACUCCGAUUUCUUUCUUUAUUGAUGUAAUUCUCAGUACUUUGGCAAGAAGGGUGUCUUCAGGGCCCUUUCAAGGGACUGUUAGGGAAUGAGUGAGCGGAUCUCACAUAAUUAACCAAGUCCAGCAUCUAUAGCCCCUUCCUCUACAUCGGACUUCCUAACCUUGGGUAGGUAUUUUACUCUUCUGAGAAGCUUUGACACUGGUACCCAGGCCCCAUCCACAGAUAUUCUGAUUUAAUUGGUCUGGAGGGCAACCCUAGAAGCAGUGGUUUGAAAAGCCCCUCGGGUGAUUCUAAUGUGCAGCCGCGCCUGAGAACCGCUGUUCUACACCAGGUCAUGGAGUUUCCAGAACUCCAUUUUACAUUGGCUGCCAUUGAAUUCAGGAUCAAGUCAACCAAUCAAUUAGAACAGUAAUCACCUGCUCAAGAUAGUCUGUUAAACAAGGAAUCUCUGGUCGGAGCACUCUGGGUGACAAAUGCAGCUCUAUCUACGUUAUGUUCCUCCCUUCCCAGCCCAGCAUCUUCAGAAGUAAUCCCCACACACACUUCCAUGCUUCUUCCUGGCACACUAGCAGGUUCUUGCAUACCUUUGACUCUAGAUGCCUUUUGUUCCCAGGUUUGACUUUAUGUCUGACCUCCUGUGACUGUGGGGUUUUGAUCUCCUGAUAGGUGGCAAGGCAGUGAGUGGUGGCGGCCAGGGCUCAGGGGAACUUGGAGGGAUUUGGACCUCCCACACACACUGGCCAAGUCACUUCUGUGGGUGAGGCAUUCCAGGGCCCCAAGCGAGGCAGGUCAUGUGCCUGUGUCCCAGCAGCAAAGGAAGUCAGGGAACUGAUUUUUCUGGGUUCUGCUCUCCCCAGGCAGAAUUCACAAGGCUGGUAUGUGAGGUUCAUCUCAAGGAAUUGGCUUACGUGAUGGCAAAGGCUGGAAACUUUCAGGUAGAGCUGAUGCAGUGGUCUUGAGGCAGAAGCUUUCUUCCUCAGGGCAACUUCAGUUUUGCUCUUCAGGCCUUUCAGCUGAUUAGAUGAGAUACCCCCACCUUAUCAACGAUGAUCUUUAUUUAACAUCACCUGACUCUAGAUGUUAACCUCGUCUACAAAACUGCUCCACAGCAAUACGUAGAUUAGUGUUGUAUUGAAUCACUGGGGACCCUAGCCUGGUACCCAAGUUGACACAUAAAAUUAACUACCAAAGGAGUUCCCUGGUGGCUCAGUGGGUUAAGGAUGUGGCAUUGUCACUGCUAUGGCUCAAGUUGCAGCUGUGGCACAGGUUCAGUCCCUGGCCUAGGAACUUCCAUGCAUUGCAGGCAUGGCUAACAAACAAACAAGAAAAAACCCAAAACUAACCAUCACAGAUGGUUCUUUUCCAGAGUUAGCACUGAUGUUCAGAAGGUACUGGGAAGCCAGAAAAUAUGGUGGAUGUUUAUGACACACCCUGAACUCAUCACUGAAGAGGAGGUGAUGAUGAUGUUGACGAUAACAACUACAACAAGCCGUUGUGCCCCCACCAUGUGGCAAAGGCCUGGUAUAUUACUAUCUCAUUUAAUCCUCGCAAUAAUUCUUUAACAGACUUGUGAUUAUCUCCACAUUAUCAAUAAGGAAUCUGAGGCUCAGAAAGGUUAGGUCAUGGUCACAGUGCACAUGGAGGAGAGAGGAGUAUGAUCCACUCUGCCAGAGUCCAAAGCCCACUGCCACCACCUCUAUAGCUGCCUCUCUGUCUUAGGAAACCACUUGAGUAAUUUAGCUAAUUCUUAACAUUCAUGCUAAGGGGGGACUGAAGGAAGUCCAUUAAAGCAGUGAUGCUCCAACUUUAAUGCACAUGAGUGUCGCCUGGAAAGGUUGUUAAGGCUCCACUAGCUGAGAUUCUGGUCCAGCGGGUCAGAGGUGGAGCCUCAGAUUCUGCUUUUUUUUGGUCUUUUCUAGGGCCACACCCAUGGCAUAUGGAGGUUCCCAGACCAGGGGUCUAAUCAGAGCUAUAGCUGCCGGCCUGCACCACAGCCACAGCAAUGCAGGAUCCAAGCCACGUUUGCGACCUACACCACAGCUCAUGGCAACGCCAGAUCCUUAACCCACUGAGCGAGGCCAGGGAUCAAACCUGCAACCUCAUGGUUCCUAGUCGGAUUCGUUAACCACUGUGCCACGACGGGAACUCCAGAUUCUGCAUUUUUAACAAAUUCCCAGAUAAUGGUGCUGGUGCAGAACCAAACUUUAGGUAGCACAGGGUAGAGAAAUCCACACGUGAUGAGCACCUCUCCCCAGUGAAACCUUUAAGAGCAACAUCUAUAAAUAGCAGACAGGCCAGGCUGGCUGGAGUGGCGUCUCUCCUCUCCAGCCUGGGGCUGACAGUGAAGUGAUCAGAAGUCAAAGGGGUGAUCAAGGAGGAGAAGCAGCAAAGGCAGCUUGCUAAUCUCCUUGCCAAAGAGGAGCUACUGACGGAGGGAGAGAGGACUGGGUUUCAGUUGUGUGAGCUUUUCCACAAGCCUGCACACUCCCUGGUCCCGGGUUCUGAGGGAGCCCUGGGAGGCAGAGUUGACCCAGCAUCAUUUUCCCCAUUGAGGAAGCUCCAGACAGAAGUUCAGCUCUCAGGAGAGAAGAGAGGAUGGGCUGGGCACGGCCAGGGCUGUAGCCAGCUCACUUGUUUCCAGUACAAGAUCUCGGAGUUCUGCCCAAGCCCAUGCUGCCUCCAUGUGAGGAGACCCCACUGCUCUCUCCUGACAGUUUACUGGAGUGGGGAUUUGAGACAUGGUCCUGAGAGGUACCAGGAAGGGGAUGAACAUUCAGAAAAUGGGUAAGGGUUCCAGUUCAAUCAUUUAAGCUAUAAAACAUCUGACUUUCAGUUUUGUCACUUGCAAAAUGGGAAAAUACAAGAAUCUACCUUACAGAGAAAAGUUUCAGUGCGUGGUUGUAAAAUUUUAUAUUGCUUUGAAUCUUUCCCUGCCUCAUUUCCUUUUUAAAUUUUAUGUGACAGAUACUCCAAUGGAGCACAAACUGUUUUCAAUUUGGAAGAAAGAACAGUCACUUCUAGAUUCUUUAAGGAUUUGGAUAGUCUGGACUUGAUCAAAUACCUGAGUGAACACCCGGCAAAAUAAUGAGAAGGGUUUCUUAGCUUGGGUCCUCUGGAAAGCAGAGCCUGAAGCAAAGAUUAAAACCCUGACAUUCAUUGUUUGAGAAGUGUCUAGUCCAGGAUGAUGAGAGUGAGGAAAAAGGGAAGUCAGGGGCAGGGGGUGGGGAGAUGAGGAAAGAUGCAAAACAACAUGAUGCAAGGUGUUACCGCCCUGGGUACCACUUUAGACAGGCUGAGAAGGGACAAGCAGGUAAUUUAGCAUGCGUGUUUGUUCAGCACAUGGGACUCCACCAAGAUAAAUGCAAGGGAGAGCUAGCCUUUUACGGGUGUCCAUGGGAGAGCGUGAGGAGGGCAGCCUUGGUGCUGCCAUUGAUGGAUGGCCAAGGGGAAAGGCUUUGCUUCCCUCCAUCUCUCGUUGUGUCUUGUAAACAUGCCCACCUCAGGCUUUAGCUGGAAGCUAACUGAUAGUCCAUGGCCCCUUUGCUAGGGAUGAUGGUGGGUUCUUUGAUUCAGUUCCACGCUCCCCACCCAUGCUAACUGUAGCCAGUUCCCCUACUAAGUUUUGCAGGAAGCAAGCAACCUAACCAAGGUUGACCUUGUUUCCCUCAAUGUCUUCCUGCCUUGAGCAUGACUCUCAUACCCCUGGUAUAACUGUGGCAAGGUUAAUUUGACUUUUUCUGUCCCUGCAAGUUUUGCCAAAGUGGCCGUAAAUGGCCUCUCUCUCAGCUACCUGCAUGGGAGGUGCCAGUUAUGAUGAAAAGUGGUCUUGAUUCCAGUCCACUCCGAUACAGUGGCUGAUACAUAGGAGAUGUACGAUGUAACACCUGCCCCCUUCAAUACUCCUCUUAUUAAUGAUGAUAUUGGUAUUGAUCCCAUUAAAUAACUGUUUUCCCCCAUCACCUCUUUCUCUUACGUUUUCUCCCUCCUGUCUUUUAUUUCUGACCUCAUCUUGAUGAUCUCCUCUUUGUGAGUUUAUAUAUCCCUUUUAAUUAUGAAGUGGUGAUAAAUUAUUGAGAAAUUCCUACCAGAGAAAAUCAAGAAAUUUAAAGUCUUCUCUCAUCUCAAUAAAGAGCUGUGGUUCUGUUUACAUCACUAGAGUUGCAAUCAGAAAGUACUAAACAGCCCAGAUUAAUGCUCCAAACAGCUUCUGUGUGGGUGGGCAAGGCAAUUAAAAGCUAGACAUGUUCAAGUUUUUAGCGGAUGUCUAGGUGAUAAAAAUGCUGUCAACACAUCCAAGGAGGAAUCUGCAAGCUUGUGGUGGAACAACACAAUUCUUAUGUCCACAGUGGAAACUCUCAUCUUUUCUUCAAGUUCAAUGUCCAACUGUAGAGCAGUAUUAAUGGGAGUCAUGGACUGGGAAUAGAGUAGAGACAGCAGGUGGCUUUGUGUUUAAAGGAGAGCCAAGGAGACACCCAUUAAAAUGACAAUUAUGCCACAGAACUUUUAAAAACCAAUCUCUAAACUUCUAGAUGGAAAAAGAGAUGAAUUGCUUUAGGAUAUCUUUAAAAAAAAAAAAAAAACCUUCAAAAAGUGUGAAGGGUCCUUCAGCACCAUCUGGGUCUGCAGCUUGAAAUGACUCAUUGUCAUUGCCUUUAAGUUCUGUUGAUUCUCCUUAUUGUAGCAGGAAUGUUGUUAUGUGCUUCAUGUAUACCGUCUCACUCUUCACAGCAGUAGGUAUUACUAUCUCCAUUUUGCAGAUGGCAAGACUGGGUCUCGCACAAGUUAGGAAGCAUAGCAAGGAGAUCCCUUGUGGCUUAGGAGGUUAAGGACCCAGCAUUGUCACUGCAGUGACUCAGGUUGCUGCUGUGACAAGGGUUUUAUCAAUGGCCCAGGAACUUCCACAUGCUGCAGGUAGAGCCAAAAAAGAGAGAGAAAAAGAGAAAGAAAAAAAAAAGCCUAGCAAAAGUGACACAGUUUUCAGGGGCAGGUUCAAAUCUUAGGACUGAGAGCUAACUCCAAAACCUAUUGCAUUCCCACCCUACCACUUGUUGUAGCCUACUCUUUGAGAAGGCACUUCAGAUUCUAAGCUAUAAGUAGAUUGAAAGUAAAAGAAUGGAAAGAAAUAUACCAUGCAAAUGGCAACCAUCAGAGAGCUGGAGUAGCUUUGCAAAUACCAGAGAAAACAGACUUUAAAACAGAAAUGUCACUAGAGUUAAAUAUGGACAUUUUAUAAUGAUAAAAUAUGUUGUUGACGAAAAAAA